rnacentral:rRNA from 1 species
UACGUAGGGGGCUAGCGUUGUCCGGAAUCAUUGGGCGUAAAGAGCGUGUAGGCGGCUCGAUAAGUCCGCUGUGAAAGUCCAGGGCUCAACCCUGGGAUGCCGGUGGAUACUGUCAGGCUCGAGUCCGGAAGAGGCGAGUGGAAUUCCUGGUGUAGCGGUGAAAUGCGCAGAUAUCAGGAGGAACACCGGUGGCGAAGGCGGGUCUCUGGGCCGUAACUGACGCUGAGGAGCGAAAGCGUGGGGAGCGAACAGG